rnacentral:rRNA from 1 species
UUAAAUUGAAGAGUUUGAUCAUGGCUCAGAUUGAACGCUGGCGGCAGGCCUAACACAUGCAAGUCGAGCGGAAACGAGUUAUCUGAAC